AGGCCUAACACAUGCAAGUCGAGCGGAUGAGUGGAGCUUGCUCCAUGAUUCAGCGGCGGACGGGUGAGUAAUGCCUAGGAAUCUGCCUGGUAGUGGGGGACAACGUUUCGAAAGGAACGCUAAUACCGCAUACGUCCUACGGGAGAAAGCAGGGGACCUUCGGGCCUUGCGCUAUCAGAUGAGCCUAGGUCGGAUUAGCUAGUAGGUGAGGUAAUGGCUCACCUAGGCGACGAUCCGUAACUGGUCUGAGAGGAUGAUCAGUCACACUGGAACUGAGACACGGUCCAGACUCCUACGGGAGGCAGCAGUGGGGAAUAUUGGACAAUGGGCGAAAGCCUGAUCCAGCCAUGCCGCGUGUGUGAAGAAGGUCUUCGGAUUGUAAAGCACUUUAAGUUGGGAGGAAGGGCAGUAAGUUAAUACCUUGCUGUUUUGACGUUACCAACAGAAUAAGCACCGGCUAACUUCGUG
rnacentral:rRNA from 1 species